rnacentral:piRNA from 1 species
GCGAAAAUUGGAUCUUGCGUUUCCUGU